rnacentral:rRNA from 1 species
CCUACGGGAGGCAGCAGUGGGGAAUAUUGCACAAUGGGCGGAACCCUGAUGCAGCGACGCCGCGUGAGUGAAGAAGUAUUUCGGUAUGUAAAGCUCUAUCAGCAGGGAAGAAAAUGACGGUACCUGACUAAGAAGCCUCGGCUAACUACGUGCCAGCAGCCGCGGUAAUACGUAGGGGGCAAGCGUGAUCCGGAUUUACUGGGUGUAAAGGGAGCGCAGACGGCUGUGCAAGUCUGAAGUGAAAGGCGGGGGGCCAACCCCCGGACUGCUUUGGAAACUAGAACGCUGGAGUGCAGGAGAGGUAAGCGGAAUUCCUAGUGUAGCGGUGAAAUGCGUAGAUAUUAGGAAGAACACCAGUGGCGAAGGCGGCUUACUGGACUGCAACUGACGUUGAGGCUCGAAAGCGUGGGGAGCAAACAGGAUUAGAUACCCUUGUAGUC